rnacentral:rRNA from 4 species
UAAGCCUGUGAAGGUGUGUCGUGAGGCAUGCUGGAGGUAUCAGAAGUGCGAAUGCUGACAUAAGUAACGAUAAAGCGGGUGAAAAGCCCGCUCGCCGGAAGACCAAGGGUUCCUGUCCAACGUUAAUCGGGGCAGGGUGAGUCGACCCCUAAGGCGAGGCCGAAAGGCGUAGUCGAUGGGAAACGGGUUAAUAUUCCCGUACUUGGUGUUACUGCGAAGGGGGGACGGAGAAGGCUAUGUUGGCCGGGCGACGGUUGUCCCGGUUUAAGCGUGUAGGUGUGUGUUCCAGGUAAAUCCGGUUCACUUUAACACUGAGGCGUGACGACGAGGCACUACGGUGCUGAAGCAACAAAUGCCCUGCUUCCAGGAAAA